GGCUGAAACUCGCCUACACGAAGCUGGAGUUACUAGUAAUCGCAGAUCAGAAUGCUGCGGUGAAUGCGUUCCCGGGUCUUGUACACACCGCCCGUCACACCACGGAAGUUGGGGCGCCCGAAGCCACUUAGCUAACCCUUUUGGGAAGUGAGUGUCGAAGGUGAAAUCAAUAACUGGGGUGAAGUCGUAACAAGGUAAC
rnacentral:rRNA from 1 species